CCUACGGGAGGCUACAGUGAGGAAUAUUGGUCAAUGGACGAGAGUCUGAACCAGCCAAGUAGCGUGAAGGAUGACUGCCCUAUGGGUUGUAAACUUCUUUUAUAUGGGAAUAAAAUGUUCCACGUGUGGGAUUUUGUAUGUACCAUAUGAAUAAGGAUCGGCUAACUCCGUGCCAUCAGCCGCGGUAAUACGGAGGAUCCGAGCGUUAUCCGGAUUUAUUGGGUUUAAAGGGAGCGUAGGUGGAUUGUUAAGUCAGUUGUGAAAGUUUGCGGCUCAACCGUAAAAUUGCAGUUGAAACUGGCAGUCUUGAGUACAGUAGAGGUGAGCGGAAUUCGUGGUGUAGCGGUGAAAUGCUUAGAUAUCACGAAGAACUCCGAUUGCGAAGGCAGCUCACUGGACUGCAACUGACACUGAGGCUCGAAAGUGUGGGUAUCAAACAGGAUUAGAUACCCUUGUAGUC
rnacentral:rRNA from 1 species